rnacentral:rRNA from 1 species
GACGAACGCUGGCGGCGUGCUUAACACAUGCAAGUCGAACGGAAAGGCCCUACUUUUGUGGGGUGCUCGAGUGGCGAACGGGUGAGUAACACGUGAGUAACCUGCCCUUGACUUUGGGAUAACUUCAGGAAACUGGGGCUAAUACCGGAUAGGAGCUCCUGCUGCAUGGUGGGGGUUGGAAAGUUUCGGCGGUUGGGGAUGGACUCGCGGCUUAUCAGCUUGUUGGUGGGGUAGUGGCUUACCAAGGCUUUGACGGGUAGCCGGCCUGAGAGGGUGACCGGCCACAUUGGGACUGAGAUACGGCCCAGACUCCUACGGGAGGCAGCAGUGGGGAAUAUUGCACAAUGGGCGGAAGCCUGAUGCAGCAACGCCGCGUGCGGGAUGACGGCCUUCGGGUUGUAAACCGCUUUCGCCUGUGACGAAGCGGGAGUGACGGUAAUGGGUAAAGAAGCACCGGCUAACUACGUG